rnacentral:rRNA from 1 species
CCUACGACAUUUUUGUAAGGUGAAGCCUGCCCAAUGACUGCUAAUAAAUAAUCAAAAUCAGUUCAAUGGCCGCGGUAACUCUGACCGUGAUAAAGUAGCAUAAUCAUUUGUCACUUAAUUAGUGACUGGAAUGAAUGGCUAAACGAAUCCUCAACUGUCUCUGAAAGAAUUCCGGUGAAUUUGAAAUAACAGUGAAGAUGCUGUUAAAUAAUUGUAAGACGAAAAGACCCUAUCGAGCUUUACUGGAAGCUUGUAUACUAUUAUAUUAUCUUCAAUGAAUUUUUUAAAAAUGCAAGCUUGACAGUUUGGUUGGGGCGACCACCCCUAAAAAUGUAUCAGGGGAACUCUAAAGGUUUAUAAAACAUGAAAAAUUGCUUUACUGGAGACAAACAAGUCAAUCAGUUAUAAUACAUAGGACAUAUUGACCCGUUAUUUAGUUCAUGAUAAAUAACGACUAUGAAAAAAGUUACCGUAGGGAUAACAGGGUAAUAUUUUCAGAGAGUUCAUAUCGAUGAAAAUGUUUGCCACCUCGAUGUUGAAUUAUGAUAUCCUAAGGGUGCAGCAGCUCUUAAGGGUUGGUCUGUUCGACCAUUAAAAUCAUACACGAUUUGAGUUCAUUCCGUCGUAA